rnacentral:tRNA from 1 species
UGCUGCGGUGGCCUAGCUGGUUAGGGCGCGGGACUCAUAAUCCCGAGGUCGGGGGUUCGGAUCCCUCUCGCAGCAUCC